rnacentral:rRNA from 1 species
GAUGAACGCUAGCGGCAGGCUUAAUACAUGCAAGUCGAGGGGCAGCACAGGUAGCAAUACUGGGUGGCGACCGGCAAACGGGUGCGGAACACGUACACAACUUACCUUAAGGUGGGGGAUAGCCCAGGGACACUUGGAUUAAUACCCCAUAAUACAGGGGGCCCGCAUGGGUCUAUUGUUAAAGAUUUAUUGCCUUAAGAUGGGUGUGCGGCUGAUUAGGUAGUUGGUGAGGUAAAGGCUCACCAAGCAAACGAUCAGUAACUGGUGUGAGAGCACGACCAGUCACACGGGCACUGAGACACGGGCCCGACUCCUACGGGAGGCAGCAGUAAGGAAUAUUGGUCAAUGGACGGAAGUCUGAACCAGCCAUGCCGCGUGAAGGAUGAAGGUCCUCUGGAUUGUAAACUUCUUUUAUAGGGGGCGAAAAAGGGCCUUUUGAGGUCAACUGACGGUACCCUAUGAAUAAGCACCGGCUAACUCCGUGCCAGCCGCCGCGGUAACAC